AAGGGCAACUUUGCCAAGGUUACCAACUAUAAAUUUGGUUUCCUUUUUUUCCCUGUUGCCAAUACCACUGUUGCUACUGGAUGUUUGAACUUUCCAGUCCAUGAGCUAUUUUAUUUGGUUUCAUGGAUAAUCAUCCUUGCCAACAUUC
rnacentral:snoRNA from 1 species